CGUCUAGCAUGCAAGUCGAGCGGCAAGGGCAGCAAUGCCCCUAGAGCGGCGGACUGGUGAGUAACGCGUGGGUGACCUGCCCUUAGGUUGGGGAUAGCCCCUAGAAAUGGGGGUAAUACCGGAUACGGUUGUCUGAUUGUGAUUGGACAAAGAAAGGAGCUAUGGCUCCGCCUGAGGAUGGGCCCGCGUCCCAUUAGCUAGUUGGCGGGGUAAAAGCCCACCAAGGCUCUGAUGGGUAGCCGGCCUGAGAGGGUGAACGGCCACACUGGGACUGAGAUACGGCCCAGACUCCUACGGGAGGCAGCAGCUAAGAAUAUUCCGCAAUGGUCGAAAGACUGACGGAGCGACGCCGCGUGGAUGACGAAGGCCGAAAGGUUGUAAAAUCCUUUUGCCAGUGAAGAAUAAGCGGGGGAGGGAAUGCCCUUGUGAUGACGUUAGCUGGUGAAUAAGCCCCGGCUAAUUACGUGCCAGCAGCCGCGGUAACACGUAAGGGGCGAGCGUUGUUCGGAAUUAUUGGGCGUAAAGGGCGCGUAGGCGGCUCUGUAAGCCUGGCGUGAAAUCCUCCGGCUUAACCGGGGAACGGCGUGAGGAACUGCGGAGCUAGAGUCAUGGAGGGGAAGUUGGAAUUCCUAGUGUAGGGGUGAAAUCUGUAGAUAUUAGGAAGAACACCGGUGGCGAAGGCGAACUUCUAGCCAAUGACUGACGCUGAGGCGCGAAAGUGCGGGGAGCAAACAGGAUUAGAUACCCUGGUAGUCCGCACUAUAAACGAUGUACACUAGGUGUUGGGCCGUGCGGCUCAGUGCCGAAGCGAACGUGAUAAGUGUACCGCCUGGGGAGUAUGCCCGCAAGGGUGAAACUCAAAGGAAUUGACGGGGGCCCGCACAAGCGGUGGAGCAUGUGGUUUAAUUCGAUGAUACGCGAGGAACCUUACCUGGGUUUGACAUGGAGAGGAGUCUGCAGAGAUGUAGCGCCGAGCAAUCGGUCUUUCACAGUGCUGCAUGNU
rnacentral:rRNA from 1 species